GGGAAGGAUAAUUGCAAGUCGAACGAAAUUACUUGCUUAUAUCUCUUCGGAGUGACGAGCUUUUAACUUAGUGGCCCUUAGGUGAGUAACACGUGAGCAACCUGCCUUUCAGAGGGCGAUAACGACUGGAAACGGUCGCUAAUACCGCAUGAUAUAUUGAAUCGGCAUCGGUUUAAUAUCAAAGGAGCAAUCCACUGAAAGAUGGGCUCGCGUCUGAUUAGAUAGUUGGUGGGGUAACGGCCUACCAAGUCGACGAUCAGUAACCGGACUGAGAGGUUGAACGGCCACAUUGGGACUGAGAUACGGCCCAGACUCCUACGGGAGGCAGCAGUGGGGAAUAUUGCACAAUGGGGGAAACCCUGAUGCAGCAACGCCGCGUGAAGGAAGACGGUUUUCGGAUUGUAAACUUCUUUUCUUAGUGAAGAAGAAAGUGACGGUAGCUAAGGAAUAAGCAUCGGCUAACUACGUGCCAGCAGCCGCGGUAAUACGUAGGAUGCGAGCGUUAUCCGGAAUUACUGGGUGUAAAGGGAGCGCAGGCGGGACUGCAAGUUGGAUGUGAAAUGCCGCAGCUUAACUGCGGAGCUGCAUCCAAAACUGUAGUUCUUGAGUGGAGUAGAGGCAAGCGGAAUUCCGAGUGUAGCGGUGAAAUGCGUAGAUAUUCGGAGGAACACCAGUGGCGAAGGCGGCUUGCUGGGCUCUAACUGACGCUGAGGCUCGAAAGUGUGGGGAGCAAACAGGAUUAAAUACCCUGGUAGUCCACACUGUAAACGAUGAUAGCUAAGUGUGGGGGGUCGGACCCC
rnacentral:rRNA from 1 species